GACGAACGCUGGCGGCGUGCUUAACACAUGCAAGUCGAGCGGUGCGGCGCACGGGUGAGUAGCGCGUGAGUAACUGCCCCCCUCCCUGGGAUAACAGUUGGAAACGGCUGCUAAUACCGGAUAGUGGGGGAUGACUCGCGUCCUAUCAGCUUGUUGGGUGGGUAGUGGCCUACCAAGGCGACGACGGGUAGCCGGCCUGGGGGGGCGACCGGCCACGAUGGUCUGAGUUACGGCCCAGACUCCUUCGGGAGGCAGCAGGGGGGAGUAUUGUACAAUGUGGGAGAUCCUGAUGCAGGAACGCGCGUUCGGGAUGACGGCAUUCUGGUUAUAAACCGCUUUCAGCCAAGACACGGUAGUGACAGAAGAAGCACCGGCUAACUACGUGCCAGCAGCCGAGUUAAUAC
rnacentral:rRNA from 1 species